ensembl:lncRNA
UUUUUUUUUUUUUUUUUUUAGUUCAAAAUUCUGUUUCUGAGAUUUAGUCUUAGCUGUGGUUCUCCUAGAAGCUGUGUGUGGAAAGUUCUGAGAAUGCCGGUAGGUAAAUGUGGGAAUGACACAGGAAGGGGAGACAAUUAAGAAACAGUGCAUAUGGAGGCUUCAAUCACGGUGGGUGAUGGAGGCUUAAUUCUGCCAGGUAAUUCUGGGAAAUGAUGCAAAACAGGAGCCUUAGAAGCAUCCUGCUGAGAGGAAAGGAGUCGGGAUAGCUGGGUUCCCACUCUGGAUAGAAGCUAGUGAGGAGGAGCUACGUGGGGGUUCUUAUUUCUUCGCACCCCUAGCAGGGCUUCUUGCUGCGGUUCUGAGGUUGGGGGAUGAGCCCUCCUGCACAGAGGCGAAGACACUGGCCGCUAAAAAUUGGCUGAAGCAAAGUACACUGGAAGGUUGAGAGAACUUCUCGCGAAGAAUCUUGAGGUACAAAUGACAAAGGUUUAUUUCUCCUCACAUAACCAAAUGAUGUAACAUAAAAAGGAUACGAUUUGGAAAUUUUGAUCCAGGCUGAACUGCUUACUGCAAAAUAUUUUGACUAAUCUCUUUGAGUGUGUUCUUUUUCUCAUAUGCAAUAUAGGGGUAUUCAUCGUAUUUAUACGUUGUGGUUAUGAGAGUUAAACAUGGUCAUCUAUGUAGGACGUGAUGCAUUUGAGUCAAAGAGCCCAUAAUAUCAUUGUUCUCCUCUCACUGUUACAAAACCAGGUUUUCUCCUCAACCACUACCCGAUGGCUAGCAGUGACCCUGUCAUUGAGUCGUAGCCAAUGGGAUGUCAGGGAAAGCGUGCUAUCUCCAAGCCUGGCCCAUGAGUUUCCAUUGUGCUAUGUUCCUAUUCAGCUGGCUGCAAGAGAGAAUCUCCACAGAGAACUUGCAAACUGAAGAUGGCUUGGGGGUGCGAUUCGCUGAGCAAAGAAUAAACUGCUAUUUGUUUCUUUCACAUUAUACACUUAAGAGCUAAUUGUUACAGUAGAUUGCACUAACUUAAAUAAAACAAUAUUUGUUAUUUUGAAAUUCAUGACUGGAGGCAGGAUUCUUACACCAAACCCUAGAUGAAGUAUUUUAUUUAUGAGUUAUUGAAUUACAAUGUAAUGAAUUGUAAAAAGGGUUUAUGGCAUAUCUCCUUUUUGUAUACUUAAAUAAGAUUGUUCUCAAAAUAAAGGAUUUUAGCAUUUAGUAUUUGAAACCAAACAUAAAAAGAAUAUGUAUAAUUAAUGGAAUUUGGUAAAGAACAAUUAAGAGACAUAGCUCAAUUGUUCAUUAUAAUUUGCUUCUCAGUUGCAACUGCAGGAUGUAUUUCUAGGAAAAGAUAUUGAUUGAUUCCAAAACCUACCUUCUUCACAUGUGUUGCUGUGUUAGUCAUGGCAAUCUCAUUUCCCUUUGCCAGUGAAUGAUUUAGAAAUGGUCAAAGAACAUAAUUUCUGUCAAUUCUUCCCUCAAAACACUUCCCUGAGAACAAAAUCACACAGGAAGAUACUCUGUCUCUGCUAACUGUUGUGAGGUAGGCAGGUGAACACUGGAAAUCUGGCAUGCCACUCAUGACC